rnacentral:rRNA from 1 species
CUCAGGACGAACGCUGGCGGCGUGCCUAAUACAUGCAAGUCGAGCGGACCUCUUCGGAGGUCAGCGGCGGACGGGUGAGUAACACGUGGGCAACCUGCCUGUAAGACUGGGAUAACUCCGGGAAACCGGAGCUAAUACCGGAUACUAUGUCAAACCGCAUGGUUUGACAUUCAAAGACGGUUUCGGCUGUCACUUACAGAUGGGCCCGCGGCGCAUUAGCUAGUUGGUGAGGUAAUGGCUCACCAAGGCGACGAUGCGUAGCCGACCUGAGAGGGUGAUCGGCCACACUGGGACUGAGACACGGCCCAGACUCCUACGGGAGGCAGCAGUAGGGAAUCUUCCGCAAUGGACGAAAGUCUGACGGAGCAACGCCGCGUGAGUGAUGAAGGUUUUCGGAUCGUAAAACUCUGUUGUCAGGGAAGAACAAGUGCCGGAGUAACUGCCGGCGCCUUGACGGUACCUGACCAGAAAGCCACGGCUAACUACGUGCCAGCAGCCGCGGUAAUACGUAGGUGGCAAGCGUUGUCCGGAAUUAUUGGGCGUAAAGCGCGCGCAGGCGGUUUCUUAAGUCUGAUGUGAAAGCCCCCGGCUCAACCGGGGAGGGUCAUUGGAAACUGGGAAACUUGAGUGCAGAAGAGGAGAGUGGAAUUCCACGUGUAGCGGUGAAAUGCGUAGAGAUGAGGAACACCAGUGGCGAAGGCGACUCUCUGGUCUGUAACUGACGCUGAGGCGCGAAAGCGUGGGGAGCGAACAGGAUUAGAUACCCUGGUAGUCCACGCCGUAAACGAUGAGUGCUAAGUGUUAGAGGGUUUCCGCCCUUUAGUGCUGCAGCUAACGCAUUAAGCACUCCGCCUGGGGAGUACGGUCGCAAGACUGAAACUCAAAGGAAUUGACGGGGGCCCGCACAAGCGGUGGAGCAUGUGGUUUAAUUCGAAGCCAACGCGAAGAACCUUACCAGGUCUUGACAUCCUUUGCCACUUCUAGAGAUAGAAGGUUCCCCUUCGGGGGACAAAGUGACAGGUGGUGCAUGGUUGUCGUCAGCUCGUGUCGUGAGAUGUUGGGUUAAGUCCCGCAACGAGCGCAACCCUUGAUCUUAGUUGCCAGCAUUCAGUUGGGCACUCUAAGGUGACUGCCGGUGACAAACCGGAGGAAGGUGGGGAUGACGUCAAAUCAUCAUGCCCCUUAUGACCUGGGCUACACACGUGCU